rnacentral:rRNA from 1 species
GGGGAAUUUUGGACAAUGGGCGCAAGCCUGAUCCAGCAAUGCCGCGUGCAGGAUGAAGGCCUUCGGGUUGUAAACUGCUUUUGUACGGAACGAAAAGCCUCUCUCUAAUACAGGGGGGUGAUGACGGUACCGUAAGAAUAAGCAUCGGCUAACUCCGUGCCAGCAGCCGCGGUAAUACGGAGGAUGCAAGCGUUAUCCGGAUUUAUUGGGUUUAAAGGGAGCGUAGGCGGACUAUUAAGUCAGCUGUGAAAGUUUACGGCUCAACCGUGAAAUUGCAGUUGAAACUGGUCGUCUUGAGUGCAGUAAAGGUGGGCGGAAUUCGUGGUGUAGCGGUGAAAUGCUUAGAUAUCACGAAGAACUCCAAUUGCGAAGGCAGCUCACUGGAGUGUAACUGACGCUGAUGCUCGAAAGUGUGGGUAUCAAACA